UACGGGGGGGGCAAGCGUUGUCCGGAUUUAUUGGGCGUAAAGAGCUCGUAGGCGGUUUGUCGCGUCGGGAGUGAAAACCCAGGGCUUAACCCUGGGCUGGCUUUCGAUACGGGCAGACUAGAGGUAUGCAGGGGAGAACGGAAUUCCUGGUGUAGCGGUGAAAUGCGCAGAUAUCAGGAGGAACACCGAUGGCGAAGGCAGGUCUCUGGGCCGAUACUGACGCUGAGGAGCGAAAGCGUGGGGAGCGAACAGG
rnacentral:rRNA from 1 species